GACGAACGCUGGCGGCGCGCCUAACACAUGCAAGUCGAGCGAGAACCGGGGCUUCGGCCCCGGGGACAGCGGCGAACGGGUGAGUAACACGUGAGUAACCUGCCCUCGGCACCGGAAUAGCCCGGGGAAACUCGGAUUAAUGCCGGAUAGCCCCUCUGCCCUGCGGGGCGGCGGGAAAAGGUAGCUUCGGCCUCUGGCCGAGGAUGGGCUCGCGGCGGAUUAGCUUGUUGGCGGGGUAACGGCCCACCAAGGCGACGAUCCGUAGCUGGUCUGGGAGGACGAUCAGCCACACUGGGACUGGGACACGGCCCAGACUCCUACGGGAGGCAGCAGUGGGGAAUCUUGCGCAAUGGGCGAAAGCCUGACGCAGCGACGCCGCGUGCGGGAAGAAGGCCUUCGGGUUGUAAACCGCUUUCAGGAGGGACGAAGCCACUCGGGUGAACAGCCCAGAGGGUGACGGUACCUCCAGAAGAAGCCCCGGCUAACUACGUGCCAGCCGCCGCAGUAAUAC
rnacentral:rRNA from 1 species